CCUACGGGUGGCAGCAGUGGGGAAUAUUGGACAAUGGGCGAAAGCCUGAUCCAGCCAUGCCGCGUGUGUGAAGAAGGCCUUCGGGUUGUAAAGCACUUUCAGUGGGGAAGAAAGCCUUGGGGCUAAUACCCUCGAGGAAGGACAUCACCCACAGAAGAAGCACCGGCUAACUCCGUGCCAGCAGCCGCGGUGAAUACGGAGGGUGCGAGCGUUAAUCGGAAUUACUGGGCGUAAAGCGCGCGUAGGCGGUCUGAUAAGCCGGUUGUGAAAGCCCCGGGCUCAACCUGGGAACGGCAUCCGGAACUGUCAGGCUAGAGUGCAGGAGAGGAAGGUAGAAUUCCCGGUGUAGCGGUGAAAUGCGUAGAGAUCGGGAGGAAUACCAGUGGCGAAGGCGGCCUUCUGGACUGACACUGACGCUGAGGUGCGAAAGCGUGGGUAGCAAACAGGAUUAGAUACCCGUGUAGUC
rnacentral:rRNA from 1 species